UACGGGGGGAGCAAGCGUUGUUCGGAUUUACUGGGCGUAAAGGGCUCGUAGGCGGUUUGUCGCGUCGGGAGUGAAAUCAUCUGGCUUAACUGGGUGCUUGCUUUCGAUACGGGCAGACUAGAGGUAUGCAGGGGAGAACGGAAUUCCUGGUGUAGCGGUGAAAUGCGCAGAUAUCAGGAGGAACACCGGUGGCGAAGGCGGUUCUCUGGGCAUGACCUGACGCUGAGGAGCGAAAGUGUGGGGAGCGAACAGG
rnacentral:rRNA from 1 species